rnacentral:rRNA from 1 species
AGAACGAACGCUGGCGGCAUGCCUAACACAUGCAAGUCGAACGAUGCUUUCGGGCAUAGUGGCGCACGGGUGCGUAACGCGUGGGAAUCUGCCCCUUGGUUCGGAAUAACAGUUAGAAAUGACUGCUAAUACCGGAUGACGACGUAAGUCCAAAGAUUUAUCGCCGAGGGAUGAGCCCGCGUAGGAUUAGCUAGUUGGUGAGGUAAUGGCUCACCAAGGCGACGAUCCUUAGCUGGUCUGAGAGGAUGAUCAGCCACACUGGGACUGAGACACGGCCCAGACUCCUACGGGAGGCAGCAGUGGGGAAUAUUGGACAAUGGGCGCAAGCCUGAUCCAGCAAUGCCGCGUGAGUGAUGAAGGCCUUAGGGUUGUAAAGCUCUUUUACCAGGGAUGAUAAUGACAGUACCUGGAGAAUAAGCUCCGGCUAACUCCGCGCCCAGCAGCCGCGGUAA